UACGUAGGAUGCAAGCGUUAUCCGGAAUGAUUGGGCGUAAAGCGUCCGCAGGUGGCGAUUCAAGUCGAUUGUCAAAGGUCCCGGCUCAACUGGGAAUAGGCAGUGGAAACUGAACAGCUAGAGUGCGGUAGGGGUAGAGGGAAUUCCCGGUGUAGCGGUGAAAUGCGUAGAGAUAGGGAAGAACACCAGUGGCGAAAGCGCUCUACUAAACCGCAACUGACACUCAGGGACGAAAGCUAGGGGAGCGAAUGGG
rnacentral:rRNA from 1 species